UACAGAGGGUUCAAGCGUUAAUCGGAAUUAUUGGGCGUAAAGGGCGCGUAGGCGGGGAUGUAAGUCAGGCGUGAAAUUCCAGGGCUCAACCUUGGAGCUGCACCUGAAACUACAUUUCUUGAGGUUUGUCGGGGAAAGCGGAAUUCCACGUGUAGCGGUGAAAUGCGUAGAGAUGUGGAAGAACACCGGUGGCGAAGGCGGCUUUCUAGAUUUGUCCUGACGCUGAGGCGCGAAAGCAUGGGGAGCAAACAGG
rnacentral:rRNA from 1 species